GUUCCCAUGGUGGGGGCUCCCGAGAGGAUUCUCUGCAGGCCCCAGAUGGGCAGAGGACACAGCCACCCUGUCCCCUGCAGGCCAGGCUAGGCCCGCCAGGGGGACAUGUGACAACUGGACCCCAUGAUCUGCGACAGGGGCACAGCUGUCAGGUUCCUUCCCCGUGUGCUGCAGGUCUCCUUGAACUUCCUCUUUUACUGUACGACACCCGGGAUGGGACACUCAGCUCUGUCCCCCAUUUCCAGGCACAGAAACAAAACUCCAGACAUUUACGCUCUCCAGGGCUUUAGGAGGGCGCAGAUAACUUUCCUGAAGAUUUGGGCUUCUCUGAACCCUUUAUCUUCCACAGACCAAAGCCCUCUCCAUCUCUGAGUAGCUCUCCCUUCCUGGAGCUGGCCUCUUCCACUGAGGGAGCAGAAUGUGGGGGUCAUUGCGACUUCUCCGAGAACCUUCGCCUUUGCCAAAGAAAGCUCCCUUACGACAUACCAGCUGCUCAGAAAACAAAAAUUACCUCAAACUCAUGGCAUUGGCAUAACAGACCGAAGGCCUCUCAAAACCGACCCGGGCUGAGUCAAAUAAGACUAUGAAGCUUUCUCUAAAUGAAUAACGUGGCUUCCAUUUUAGGGCGGAAGAAGGAAAAGUACUUUGAAAAGACUAAACUUCACAUUUUGCAACAUAAAACACUCUCCCAAGGAGACAGAACUUUCAGUGAAAGAACAUCCGGCGCUGAGGAGAAUACUGAUGUUCAGAGAAGUUCAAUUGCUUUUCUAUGGUCCAUGACUGGCUGAGGGCAUGGACAGGGCCAAAUUCCAGUCCAGGGCUCUUUCUUUUAAUGACCCCAGAAGCCAAGAGGGAAUCAGUUAUAUAGACUUUGAAAUUAAUGAAUUUAAAAAUUCCUUGGAUGGGAAGAUUAAAGAAAACAAAGUCAUGAAGGAUUAGCAGUGAAGGGAAGUGAGCAUCAGUGGUGUUGGAUUCUAUUUGGCUGACCUUGGAGUAAGGAGUAGGAAAGUUCGGG
ensembl:lncRNA